UACGAAGGGUGCAAGCGUUACUCGGAAUUACUGGGCGUAAAGCGUGCGUAGGUGGUUUGUUAAGUCUGAUGUGAAAGCCCUGGGCUCAACCUGGGAAUUGCAUUGGAUACUGGCAGGCUAGAGUGCGGUAGAGGUAGUGGAAUUCCCGGUGUAGCAGUGAAAUGCGUAGAGAUCGGGAGGAACUCUGUGGCGAAGGCGACUACCUGGACCAGCACUGACAC
rnacentral:rRNA from 1 species